UUCUGUUGAGACAUGUUCGUAAAUCGAUUUGUUUCGAAAGUUUCCGACGUGAAACUUCCUUGAAAAAGUUAUCCUGGCCCUUUGGUUGGACCUUGUCAUCGAUACUACACUGCUUUAAAAGUUCUACGAGCGUAAACUUUAAUACAAAAUUAGGUUAGCUCCAUCGACAAGACUAAUUGUAAGUUUAUCUAAUUACCAAGGAAAUAAUUAGCAGCACGUUAUCUCGACAUAUUAUUCAAUACUUUUCAUUUGAUAUCUCAAUUUCUGAUGUAAUUGUUUAAUUAUUAAGUGAUCAUUAUAUAGCUAAUGGCUAUAGAAUAUCUUCAAUGGAAAUUUAACACAGCAUUUGCUAUCACCAUCUACCUCAACGGAAUUGCAUGACAACCGCUGUGGCAGAACAUCUAAAUAGUGUGACAUCCUUGUGAAUUCCUUAAACCCACCUGAGCCUUUAAAGCGAACUUUGUAAUCAUGCCUGUUACAUCAUAUUUAAGUAUCGUGUUCAUAAACUUUCGAUGAAAAAAAAAAAAAAA